rnacentral:rRNA from 1 species
GGUCCUGCCUGCCCUGUGACUAUUUGUUUAACGGCCGCGGUAUUUUAACCGUGCGAAGGUAGCGUAAUCACUUGUCUUUUAAAUAAAGACCUGUAUGAACGGCAUAACGAGGGCUUAACUGUCUCCUCUUUCAAGUCAAUGAAACUGAUCUUUCCGUGCAGAAGCGGAGAUUUAAACAUAAGACGAGAAGACCCUGUGGAGCUUUAGACACUAUGACAACUUACGUUAAAUACCCCCAAAAUAAAGGCGUGUGUUAAGUAAACUCUGCCCUAAUGUCUUUGGUUGGGGCGACCACAGGAAAAUAAAUAACCCCUAUGUGGAGCGGGAGAACUUCUCCUACAACUAAGAGCUACAACUCUAAUAAACAAAAAUUAUGACCAGCAAGAUCCGGCAACGCCGAUCAACGGACCAAGUUACCCCAGGGAUAACAGCGCAAUCCUCUUUUAGAGCCCAUAUCGACAAGAGGGUUUACGACCUCGAUGUUGGAUCAGGACAUCCUAAUGGUGUAGCCGCUAUUAAGGGUUCGUUUGUUCAACGAUUAAAGUCCUACGU